UACAAGAAAAAAGACAAUUCCCGGGACUUGUUUCCAACGUUUUUUUCAAACCCCGUUUAUAAUCUCUUUUAUUCGCGUGAUAAGAAAAAAGAAGCGGAGGGAGGGUAUUCUUACCCCCGUUUUGGAGUUACGGUUAAGAUUGUGAAAGGAUUCCCCCUUUAUUACAUUGCGCCGACUGCCAUAGCUCCCCUCUCCAUCCUCAUCUGGUCCCUCUCUCUCUCUCUCUCUCUCUCUCUCUCUCUCUCUCUCAGUUUUGGGCUUCUGUGUUUGAAACUUUCGUCAAUCGCGUUGGGGUUUUACAGGGACGGCACCAUUGGUGAAGCUGGGGCCGGUAGGGCUGGGUGAAGAGAUAAAAUUUGCCCUAGUGCUCAAAAUGCCUCUCACCAGCCCAUCUCUAUUUGGGCUUCAUUGUUCAAGUGAGGUUUUUGUUAGGCAGUCGAUUAAAGGGAGGGAGGGGUCAAUGGUCUUCUAUUGCCAUUUAAAACCCUGAAGCUCUUCUGUUGCUGCCGUUGCUGGAGUUGCUAGACAGCAUGAAGUACAGAGUGUUCGAGUGAAAACCCAGAAGUAAUGAAACCGAUCCAUCCGUGGUUUAUACGAGUCCUCGAAGCCGGUGUGAGCCAUAGACUGAAUGGGUAGAAAUCUAAAACAAAAACCCCCAAAUUGGUUCUUCGAAUAAGAGCAUAAUCUGGUAAGUAUUGUCAAUUUCUCUUGUGUGGGCUUAAUUAGGGCUUCUUCUUUCUUUAAUUUUCCUUGAUACGAUUUCUAGGUUAACAAGAUGUUGAUUAAGUUUUUUCUAGGUUAACUAAUGGAGGAAUGUUCUUAAAUCUCUUAUGCUGCAGUUAGAAUGUUCUUAAAUUUUUUAGGAGCUUAAAUGAUGGAGAUCCUUUCAGUUUUUUUGGCCAUAUGAAAUUUUCUGCAGGCCACCUUCACCAGUUAUACAUCUUUCCUUUUUUUUGAUUGGCAACAGUUGCACCUCGUUUACAAUCAUCCUGGAAUGACUGUUGAGUGAGCUAUGAUAUGGCACAAUCAACCUGACCGGUAAUCCUCGUGGAGGGAAAGGUUGAUCAUUUAUACCUCAAUAUUCUAUCACGCAUCAGUCAUCACAAGACAACUUUACCUGUCGGUUGUCCUUAAUUGGAGUAGUUUAGCUAGUUUAGUUCAUUCAGUCUGCAUGUUUAGUUCUAGUUUUUGUUCUAGUUUCCGUUUAAAUCAUGGAAGUCUAGGUUCUCUAAGCUAAUUUCAGUCUGCAUGAUUAGUUCAAGUUUUUGUUCUAGUAUUGCCACAAUACAUGUAAAAUCGUUUGUUUGGGUUGAUGUUCAUGGACCUAAUAAGUUGCAAGGUAUGCUAUUUUUGAAUAUCAUAUAAUUUGUUGGUAUAUUAACUGUAUCUAUGGUUUCUCAAAAGAAUCAGUAAAUUUAGUUUGUAGAUAGAAGUUGUUCCACCAUGUCUUUUUGCAGAUAGUGAAAUUAAAAUGAAGGCUUUUGAUAUAGUGAAUGUUUGAACAAGAGUAAGUCUUUCAUAGGCCGAUAAAAAAAAAAAAAAGUCUUCCAUAGUAUUGAUUUGGUUCAAUUCUGAAGUGUGUUUGUCUUAUACAUGUUUCCAAAUUAUAUUGCUUAAUUAACAUAUUUCAAUGGAUGAUAUUGUUUAGUUGACAUUUGCUAUCUAUUUACCUUACAUCCAUGCUAAUGGCUACUCCACACCGAGGUUGAGCCAUGAUGAUCGAGGCUGAUGUAAUACUCCGCUCCGAGGUUAACUUAUGCAAAAAAUAUGGUGCAGUUUGUGGCAAACAUUUGACUCGGCGAGCUUACAAUUAAGACUGGGACACAACCUAAGGGCUCUCAAUCCGUAAGAAUACUACACAAUCUGUAUAAUAUCCCUUCCUUGCAUCGGCAGAGUUUAAGCUAGGUUUGGUAAAAUCAAGAUACUCAAUCCAAGGGAAUAUGAGGCAAAUUGUCAUUAAACUGCUAGAGCUGCGAAUGAUUUAGUAUAAUCUUAGAGCUGGGGAGUUCCUGUUCAUGAUGACAAGAAACUCUUUGAAUUGCUCGUCGUGUCCACUGCUCUUGCUGAACUGUCAUGGCCUGCCAUUCUCAGCAAAAGGAACGUGUUUAGGGAAGUCUUUCUGGACUUCAACCAAACUGCAGUCGCUAAAUUGAAUGAGAAAAAGAUACUCCAGCAAGCACUCUUAUAUCAGAGGUGAAGCUACGAGCUACCAUUGAAAAUGCACGUCAAAUGAGCAAGGUAAGUAAGGAAAUGGAGUUGCUUUUUGGAAGCUAACCAAGAUGGAGUUGAAGACGUUUUGGUAGUUAUUUUUGAAAGCCGACCAAGAUGGAGUUGAAGAUUUUUUGGUAGUUAUUUUUGGAAGUUAACCAAGAUGGAGUAAAUGGAACACUUGUUUUGAGUUCUUUUUGGGUAUGGAUGUUUUGUAGUUUCGGUAAUGUUAAGUUUGAAAUGGUUAUUGUUGGAGGAUGAAUGUUUUGAAACGUUUUGAAGUUGGAUGAUGAAUGUUGACUUAAUGGAUAUUUGAUUUGAAUGAUA